rnacentral:rRNA from 1 species
UGUGGAAACGACCGGCGCACGGGUGAGUAACGCGUAUGCAACCUUCCUUUAACUGGGGCAUAGCCCGGAGAAAUUCGGAUUAAUACCCCAUAAUAUCCUGAGAACGCAUGUUUUCUGGAUUAAAGCUCCGGCGGUUAAAGAUGGGCAUGCGUACCAUUAGCUUGUUGGUGAGGUAACGGCUCACCAAGGCUACGAUGGUUAGGGGGUCUGAGAGGAUGAUCCCCCACACUGGUACUGAGACACGGACCAGACUCCUACGGGAGGCAGCAGUGAGGAAUAUUGGGCAAUGGGCGUAAGCCUGACCCAGCCAUGCCGCGUGAAGGAUGAAUGCCCUAUGGGUUGUAAACUUCUUUUGUACGAGACGAAACUCUCGGUCGUGACCGGGAUUGACUGUACCGUAUGAAUAAGCAUCGGCUAACUCCGUGCCAGCAGCCGCGGUAAUACGGAGGAUGCAAGCGUUAUCCGGAUUCAUUGGGUUUAAAGGGUGCGUAGGCGGAAUAGUAAGUCAGUGGUGAAAGCCUGCGGCUUAACCGAAGGCAGCUCACUAAGCUAUUACUGACGCUGAGGCACGAAAGCGUGGGGAGCAAACAGGAUUAGAUACCCUGGUAGUCCACGCUGUAAACGAUGAUCACUCGUUGUUGGCGAUAUACCGUCAGCGACUGAGCAAAAGCAAUAAGUGAUCCACCUGGGGAGUACGGCGGCAACGCUGAAACUCAAAGGAAUUGACGGGGGCCCGCACAAGCGGAGGAACAUGUGGUUUAAUUCGAUGAUACGCGAGGAACCUUACCUGGGCUUGAAAGGGGAACGAUCUCCCGGGAAACCGGGAUUCUCUUCGGAGUGGUCUCCUAGGUGCUGCAUGGUUGUCGUCAGCUCGUGCCGUGAGGUGUCGGGUUAAGUCCCAUAACGAGCGCAACCCUUAUUGUUAGUUGCCAGCGGGUAAUGCCGGGAACUCUAACGAAACUGCCGGUGUAAACCGAGAGGAAGGUGGGGAUGACGUCAAAUCAGCACGGCCCUUAUGUCCAGGGCUACACACGUGUUACAAUGGCCGAUACAAAGGGCAGCUAUGCCGUGAGGCAAUGCUAAUCUCCAAAACCGGUCUCAGUUCGGAUCGAAGUCUGCAACUCGACUUCGUGAAGCUGGAUUCGCUAGUAAUCGCGCAUCAGCAACGGCGCGGUGAAUACGUUCCCGGGCCUUGUACACACCGCCCGUCAAGCCA